rnacentral:rRNA from 1 species
CCUGCCCAGUGAAUUUUUAACGGCCGCGGUAUCCUAACCGCGCGAAGGUAGCAUAAUCACUUGUUCUUUAAAUGGGGACUCGUAUCAACGGCAUCACGAGGGUUUUACUGUCUCCUCUUUUUGAUCAGUGAAAUUGAUCUUCCCGUGAAGAAGCGGGAAUAAUCCUAUAAGACGAGAAGACCCCAUGGAGCUUUAAACCAAAUAACAACUUAACCACUUACCCCAUUAGAAAUUUAAGCCCUGUUAUAAGGUUUUUGGUUGGGGUGACCGCGGAGUAAAGAACAUCCUCCACGACGGAAAGAACACACUCUUUAUUUAAGAACCACAAUUCUAGAAAUUAGUAUACUAACGUUUACUGACCCGAUAAUCGAUCAACGGACCAAGUUACCCUGGGGAUAACAGCGCAAUCUACUUCAAGAGCUCAUAUCGACAAGUAGGCUUACGACCUCGAUGUUGGAUCAGGGUAUCCCGGUGGUGCAGCCGCUACCGAAGGUUCGUUUGUUCAACGAUUAAAACC